UCGCACUGUCAUCCUGGCUGGAAUGCAGUGGUGCAAGCCGACUCACUGCAACCUCUGCCUCUUGGGUUCAAGUGAUUCUCCUGCUUCAGCCUCCUGAUUUGCUGGGAUUGCAGAGCAAACCAGUGAAAAAAUGGCCUUCGCACUCCUGAGAGACCUUUCACCGGGCUUUCUACUUUUGAAUUCUCUCCAUAGCUGGUUUCCUCUUAGGCCUCGAUAGAGCAGGUAUGCUGACUACGUCUUUUCCUGGUACAAACCAUCAUGGGGGAAACACACAGCAAGAAGCAUCUUCAGGUCACAAGAUAGGUAAUACCAUCUACCUGAAUUUUUUCAAAAGCAGCAGAAUAUUUAGU
rnacentral:lncRNA from 1 species